UAUCUUAUACGCCGGAAAAUACAGUACUAAAAUUGGAACGAUACAGAGAAGAUUAGCAUGGCCCCUGUGCAAGGAUGACAUGCAAAUUUGUGAAACGUUCCAUAUUAAA